UUUUAAAAUAAAAUUAUUUUUUUUAUUAUAAGAUAGAUUUCAUAAAGAAAAAUUAGUUAUACAGUCUUAGCCCAAUAACAGAAGCUCAGUUACAAAGUACCGCUAAACCCAGAUAAAAAUAAGCCCAAACCUUAUAAAACAAAACCCUAAUCUAUUCGGGUAAUCCAAAAGAAAUGGGCAGAAACCAAAUCUCAAUGAUGUAGUGCCGUUGGAAAAAAGAAAGGAGACCAAAUGGAGCAUAGGGGCAAAGCUCUUUUGACCAGAGGAUGAGGAGACGGCGAUGAAGCUCGGAGAAAUCCUGCAGAACGAUUGCCCAUACGUCAUCACAAAAGGUAAAAACAUAUAACCAAGCAGAAAAGCCAUGAAGCACCAGAGCAUGGAGAACAUAUAACCCAGAUCGCCAUUGCAUGCAAGACUAACAGCUCUCAGAACGUGAUGGGGCAAAGCUCUAAACUAUAACAACAGUUUUGGGGGUUGGCCAUGAGAGGUAGUGCCAGCUAGAGACCCGUGAGGUGCCAUCAUCUCCUAAAACAUAUCCCCCUCUCAGAGCAAGAAGCGAAGCACAUAUGGAGUUUCCACCUACAUGCAAGAACAAACAACACAACUCAAUUGUAGACCAAUCGAAGUCCUCUCUAAGCAGUCAUGGGUCUACCACCAAAAUCUCUUACUCAUAACUUUAUUUAUGGACAAACCCCAUCCAGAGAGGGGAGGACACAACCCACGUCUUGGAUAAGGGAGGAAGUCCCUCCUGCCUAGAUGGGACAGAGGGAACCACUGAACGACAGUAGCAGAGAUCGAAACGCCUCAAAUGAAGAAGCUUCGAAUAGGGGAAGAGUUUUUGCUUUUCUUUGUAGAAAAUUGCUUUUCAACAGUUAUAUGGGUAUGCCCAACAGUUCGAAUUAAACUAAACUAACCAACCAUCAACCAUAACAUAUAAUUAAUUUAAUUUUAAACAAUUUACUUCAGUUUCCUCUCUUUUCCAAUUAACACUGUAAAAGCUAAAAAAGGGCACUCUCCAGCUUUCACAUGAAGAAGGGUUAGAGCCAAGAAACAAGAAAUGUAAGAGGCUCUGAUAAAAAAUCAAAAGAAUUUCUUUGGAUAAAAGGGUGUAAAAGAAUAAGGAAAAAAAAGGAUAAAGCGGAUUAUAAAUAAAAAAUUUUAAUUUUUGAAAAUGGAG
rnacentral:misc_RNA from 1 species